rnacentral:misc_RNA from 1 species
UAGAUGCUGAGCUUGUAGUGCUCAAUGUGGUCAAAAGUAAAAAAAAUCAGGGUGUCUGGGUAGCAGAUGUGAAAAAAGAGGCAAACAUCGCACCAGCUCUUGUCGAUAAAUGCCUUACUUCAUUGGUGAAGAAGAACUUGAUUAAAAAAGUCCCUAGUAUCCAAAAUAAGGCAAAGAAGUAUUACAUGGCUGUUGAGUAUGAACCUUCCGAGGAACUGACUGGUGGAGCAUGGUAUUCCGAGGGAAAACUUGACAAGGAAUUCAUAACCGUUCUUAGAGAGACGUGCCUUAAAGUCAUUGGAAUGAUGAAAGUUGCUACUGUGGAAGGAAUCCACGACUUUUUGAAGAAGCGGAAAGUUGUUGAGUGCUGUACAAGUCAACAAGUCGGGGAAAUCUUGAACUCUAUGGUUCUAGACGAUUCCAUUAUAGAGGUAAAGAGCACUGGAUUGGGUGAAUAUCAUUCUAUUCCUAUUGGAUCUGUUUGUUACAGAAUUGCAGUUGGAGUUACUUCAGGUCCGAAAACAAUAGGGCCAAUGGCUUCGAUUCCAUGUGGUGCUUGCCCUAGGAUUAGUGUAUGUACACCUGAUGGAAUUAUAUCUCCGAAAACCUGUGUCUACUUCACUAAAUGGUUAGACAUUGAAUUCUGAUGGACUACAACAGUUGCUUUUCGGGUUUCUUAUUUUGUCUUUUGGUUUAUAGAUGAAACCAAUCAACAAUUUCCAUAAA